UGGGGAAUAUUGGACAAUGGGCGAAAGCCUGAUCCAGCCAUGCCGCGUGUGUGAAGAAGGUCUUCGGAUUGUAAAGCACUUCAAGUUGGGAGGAAGGGCAUUAACCUAAUACGUUAGUGUUUUGACGUUACCGACAGAAUAAGCACCGGCUAACUCUGUGCCAGCAGCCGCGGUAAUACAGAGGGUGCAAGCGUUAAUCGGAAUUACUGGGCGUAAAGCGCGCGUAGGUGGUUUGUUAAGUUGGAUGUGAAAUCCCCGGGCUCAACCUGGGAACUGCAUUCAAAACUGACUGACUAGAGUAUGGUAGAGGGUGGUGGAAUUUCCUGUGUAGCGGUGAAAUGCGUAGAUAUAGGAAGGAACACCAGUGGCGAAGGCGACCACCUGGACUAAUACUGACACUGAGGUGCGAAAGCGUGGGGAGCAAACA
rnacentral:rRNA from 1 species